UGAGGUGUGUAUGAGGUGUGUAUGAGGUGUGUAUGAGGUGUGUAUGAGGUGUGUAUGAGGUGUGUAUGUGGUGUGUAUGAGGAGUGUAUGAGGUGUGUAUGUGGUGUGUAUGAGGAGUGUAUGUGGUGUGUAUGAGGUGUGUAUGAGGAGUGUAUGAGGAGUGUAUGAGGUGUGUAUGAGGAGUGUAUGAGGUGUGUAUGAGGAGUGUAUGAGGUGUGUAUGAGGUGUGUAUGUGGUGUGUAUGAGGUGUGUAUGAGGUGUGUAUGAGGUGUGUAUGAGGUGUGUAUGAGGAGUGUAUGUGGUGUGUAUGAGGUGUGUAUGAGGUGUGUAUGAGGUGUGUAUGAGGUGUGUAUGAGGUGUGUAUGUGGUGUGUAUGAGGUGUGUAUGAGGUGUGUAUGAGGUGUGUAUGAGGUGUGUAUGAGGUGUGUAUGUGGUGUGUAUGAGGUGUGUAUGAGGUGUGUAUGAGGUGUGU
ensembl:lncRNA